GAACCCUUGGCACAGUGGUAGCGCGUGAGAUUCCAGUAAAGGACACUCCUCAAGGUCGUCCGUUCGAUCCGGGCAGGGUUCA